rnacentral:rRNA from 1 species
UACAGAGGGUGCGAGCGUUAAUCGGAAUUACUGGGCGUAAAGCGUGCGUAGACGGUUAUUUAAGUCGGAUGUGAAAGCCCCGGGCUCAACCUGGGAAUUGCAUUCGAGACUGAAUAGCUAGGGUGCGGUAGAGGGAAGCGGAAUUUCCGGUGUAGCGGUGAAAUGCGUAGAUAUCAUGAGGAAUACCAGAGGCGAAGGCGGCUACCUGGACAAUUGCUGACGCUCAGGCACGAAAGCGUGGGGAGCAAAAGGG